ensembl:lncRNA
GGCGGAAGCGCGCGCAAGGCCCAGACGCCGCCGCGCGCAGCCACUGGCAACCGCGCCAUGGCAACCGGACGCCCGGGAGGAAUCUUAAAGCCGCAGCGCCUCCUUUCCCGUCGCCGCCCGUUCCCCAGGGGAAGGCGUCCUAUAGAGGAAGGUUCAGAGCGGGAGUCAGGACUUGGGGUCUGACUCGCACCCUCGUUCGUGUUUAUCGGAUGCGUAUCGGGCCUGCGAGGCCAAGCGCGGGCCAGACGCCGGGGAGGGGAACGGGCAGUGAUUAAAACAUGAACAAGAUCCUGCCAAGAAGAGUUCACAGUCUAGCGCGCAAGGCAGACCAGGCUGGCGAGUGAGGAUGGGGAGCUGAUGGCCUGGUUCCUCCUGACUUCUCCAUGAAUGGUUCCAGGGACUUCUAUUUUCCCAGCUCCUCGGAGGACAUGAUGAGGGUGCUUCAGCCCCUUUGGCCUCUGUCCAAGGUACCCAGGCCCCUGGGACUACAGUCAGGGGCAUGAAUGGUUUUCCUGACCCACCUGGUGUGACCUCCAGCGCAGCCUCCUGUCACCCCGAUCCAGAGAGGAUGGAGAAGGCGCAUCUGCCCACCUGGCCUGUGAAUGGGGAGGGCAUUAGUGCUUUCAAACACCUGUGGUUCUGCACCAUUCCCAGCCUGCCCAGGCCUUUCAGCCAGCCCCAGCCCCUUGCUGCUCCUCUCUGGUCCCAGGUACCUGCUCUAGGGUGGACAGCACCGAGAGGGCCAGCCCCCUGCAUCCCUUGGAAUCCACAACAGACACACAGAGAUGAGAGAGCCAGAGUGAGGAGUGUGAGAGAUCCCAGCCUAUGCUGUUCUGGGAGAGGGAGCCGGCUGCCUGCACACAGAACGGGAUUGCCAGCCAGGAGAACUGCCCUGGCCCAGUUCUCCACCAGCAGCCCUCAGUGCUUCAAAGAAGGCAGCGGUCCUUGGAGGGGUCUCUCCAGCUGUGCUCGGGGACACAAGGGCCUUCUCACCCCACGGGCUGUGGAGUGGGCUGAAGAUCGAACAGCAAGCAAGCAGACUCGGGGCGACUCAGGGAAGGGCAGCGUGAGGCUGGGACCGGAGAGGCAGAUCCUGCUCCUCCCCAGGGCCGGGGGUAUGAAGUGGUCCACUAGGACAGAGAAGACAGUUUUUGGGGUGGGAAGAGGGUGUGGUGGCCUGGAGUGGGACAGUUUCCACUGGCUGCCUCCAAGCUCUGUAUCUUUGCUCCUACCCCAACUUUGUGUCACGAAGCUUGGAACAGAGUCUUGAAUAUUUUGAGGAAAGAGGAGGGUGCUAAGAAAGACCACCUUUGGCAACCUGGCAGGAAGCUCCUGUCGCCUCACUCUUCCUUCCUUCCCCCAAGCAGGUAAACAGGAAGGGAAGGAAGGGGUGGGGAAAGUGGUGGCUGAAAGCUGUCUUUCUGUCCAGGUACCAAAGCCACAAGAGCCAGAGUGGCUCUGACUAAGAGAUGCAGGGCCAGGUAUCCUGGGAACUCCACCUUCAGGGCCUUGCAUCUCAAUUCCGUCUGUUCUAGGCUUAGACAUGGAGAAGAGGUAGAAGAUCACUUCUCAUUACACUUUUUGGUGUAACUUUCUCUAAUGGCUUAAUUUACAGCAGACAAACUUGGGCUAAGAGUUCCAAAAGCGUUCACUAUUUAGUCUUGGUUGGGGAUUUAUUUCUGGUGAAGGAGUCAUUUCCUUCCCUGUGAACCUUAGAGGCCAUGACAAAAUCCCACGGAGCAGGGCUGCAGGAAUUCCAUCUACUUGGAAGCCUGGGGACGGAUGAGACAGCCCUGGACUGGUGGUGUGAAGGAAAUGUCCCCCAGUAAUGCUCCACAGGCUGCACCUGCCUGACUCCUCUACCUUGCUUUUUUUUAGUGCUGAGGACCACACUCCGGGCCUUGGCCAUGCCGCUUCUAAGACUCGAGGGUCCGAGAUGUGAGACGUCAGCCGGUGGCCGAUAAGAUCCUGCUUGCCCUCCUCAUCUGACUUUCCUCCCUCCACACCUACAUGCUUCUCCUUUUCCUAUUUCCAGGAACUUUCCAAAUGCAGGAACACAGAGCAACUGCAGGACAGGAUUCCACCAAAUUCCCCUCUCUGGCUCUUGGUUUCCACAUCUGUAAAGUAAAGGGUCGGGCAAGAUGAACGCCACGUUGGCUUCCUUGCAGCAGUGAGGUUCCAUGGUCCAGACCCCAAGGCACCACACUCAUUUGUACAUAACCUCCAGGACACUUUCUUCACGUCAGGACAGAGGAACCACUCUGCUCUCAACUCUGCCCUCCAGUCACCUCACCAGUCUUUGGGUCCAUGGCCCCUCGCGCUUGUCCCUCUUUCUUCAGGAACCUCAGACCUCCGUUCCCAACUUCCUUUCACAAGUUUACCACAUUCCUUGGGCUAAGCCGACUGGACAAAACACCAAGAAACCACCUUACCUACUACCCUGGCUGUGAUUUCGGGCUCCAGGCCCAAGUCAACUGCUUUGGGAGGUCCUGGCCACUGGAGGAAAUGCUGGCACCUCUCCCCAGCACCUCCCCUGCUCCUCCACCUCACUGUUCUCCAUGCCAGCACGAAAAGUGGCCAGUGAUUGAUGGGCCUGGGUUCCCGGUAACCGCACCCAGUGGCCCAAUCCUCCUCCCUUCCUCAAUCCCUCCCCUGCCCCUAUUCAGAGCUCAGAUUGUCUCAUGUUGGUCCCUGAGGUCCCAUUAAUUAAAAAUACAUCCAAUUAAAUGGCAGGUGAAAACGUGCUGCUGGAGCUCCACCCCCCACCCCAGCUUGGUCUCUCCGCUCCCCCUGCCCAAGGCUCAGCUGUGCUUUGGCUGAGAAAAGAGAGGGGGGAGAGAAGGGAAGAGAGUAGAGGAAGACAUAGGGGUAGGAGGAUGGCAGGGGGCUACUUGAACCUCUGCCAGGGUAGCAUGUGCCAGCCUGGGAGGGUGGCACUGUGCCCUGGGGUCUAAUUUCUGGAGGUGUGAGUAGUUCAGUCAGCUGGGUACCCACCUCCAUUUCCCUUAAAGAGGCAGAGGGCAGCCAGGGGGUGGCUAACUGUGCUGCCUACUUCUGCGUUUGGUGGCACGAGCGUAAAUGGUAGCAGGGCCUUCGGAGGGGUGUGCUGUUCAGAGGUCAGGGGCAUCUCAGACCUCCAUCCUGGCCAUAUCUCUGCUCUUCCCCAAACUGCGAAGAAGAUAAUGAGGAGCCAAUGGGGACCCAGGUGGCAGGACACGGCAACGCUCCUGAGCCUGGCUGGGGCUGCUCUUGCCUACAGGAAACCAAGAGACAGAUGCAGGGAGUGAGAAAGAAAGGAGCCAUGACUUGGGCAAGGGCAGACGGGUCAGAUAGAGUAGAAUAUUACAGAAAUGGGUAUUCACGUGGGCACCAUGCCCCCGAGCACUGUAUAGGCAAGAGGGCUUGGAGGCCCUCGUCCUGUUUGCCCUUGGUCUCUGCGGAAACAGCAGUCCCCUCGGCCUGGCUGCCUGGAAAGCUAUGGGCAGGGCAUCUCUAAUGAGUGGAGACCACUCCUCUCUUCCUCUUCCUCCUCCUUCUCCCCCUCCUCCUCCUCCUCCUCCAGCCUCACAGGUAGAGCACCUCCCCGGCCCCACCCCAGAGGAGCCCUAUGUCCCAAGCACAGCAAUUCGAGGCUAACGGGCCCUGGGUGCUGCUGGAGAGCAGCUAUAGAGGAAGGGGAUGAAGGGUGCACUCGGAAUCCAGGCAAGAGUGGGGGUGCCGACCCAGGGCCCCCACCUGGCCUCCUUGGCAGCCUCCGCACCUCCUCACUUCACUUUAACGCUAAUUGGAGAUUUUAAUCUGCACUGCUGCUCUGCUCAGGGUGCUGGGGGGAGCGCCAGCUGUGCAGUAAUUCCAGCAGCACCGACUGUUUAAUCAAGCUGUCCUCCUGGGGAGGGGCCUCGGGCGUGGGGGAGGAGGAGGAGGACCUCUGUCUCUCCCAGAGUCUGUGCAGCCUGGAAGGUGCUUUACGGGACGAGGGCGGGUGGCGGGUGGUCCGUGGCAUCACUAGCAGAGCCACAACCCUGCACGCGGUGAGCAUGAGGGUUGUGGCCAACAUGGGCCCCACAGAUGCCCUCCUGGCUCAGAGCCCCAGUGUGGCCUGGGUGUACCCAGCCACUGAGGCUGUCCUGAGUUCUGUGGGGCUGCACGGGGAGCAGAUGGAGAGACUCACUCACUUACUUUCCCCAUCUUCAAUUCCCCCAACACUUUCUUACUGACAAAGAUCCUUUUCUCCUUUUUUUUUGUUUUCUGAGAGUCUUGCUAUGUGGUUCAGGCUGGCCUUGAACUCACUAUGAUCCUCCCGGUUCGGCCUCCCAAGCAGUGGGAUUAUAGGCACGUACCACCAUGGCCGGCCUCAAAGAUACUUUUCUCAGAACACUUGUAAGAGAUCCCCCCUGCCCUGGAAAACCACACACACCCCACCCUCUGGGUCAGAAAGCAACUGUCAUGGAGGCAAGGGGACAGUGGGGAGACAGCUGGAGCUUGCUACGCCCUAAGGGAGAGAAAGCAAGUGCGAAGUGUUCUGGGACUGGAGCCAGGGCGGGCCAAGCUCAGGAGGGAGGGAGUGCGCUGAGGCUGCAGGCCACUAGAGCAGUGUGUGUGGGGCCUCAGGUCAUCUCACAGGAAGAACAAGUGGUGCCAGGUAUCCUGCCAGAUUCCCAGCCCUGUGUCUGGGCUCUCUAGGGCCUUCUGACUCAUCUUAGGGAAAGGGCGCCCUCACCUAGGCUGCAAGGGGUGAGUUUUAAUUAGUCGGCAGUGCCCUCGUGUGGCAGGAGCCAGGACUGCAGUGGCCCAGCGGGGCAGACACCCUGGUUGACAGACAGGCGGCAGCGUCAUCAAUGCUGGUGCUCUCUGUGCCAUCAAGGUGUCCCACACACGCGUACUAUUUGACUGCUUACAGGGACAUUUCUGCUUCCUAACAUCUGCUUGAUCCCUCUUACCCACUAUGGCCCACCUGCUCCACUUCUAGCUCAAAGCAGCUGCCUAGCAGGGAGGCAAUGCCUUCCUAGAGUGCGCUUCUGCUGGCAGGCCUGCUGCUGGUGCUGGAGUUGAGAGAGACAUUGGCUGGGCCACAAGGGUCGGGGCGGGGGGUUUCGCCCAUGGUGCCCAGGCAGCAAUACGCUGCUCUGACCCACGACAACUCUCCCAAGGCCCCAGAGGGCAAGAACACCUACAGUGAAGAAGAGGAGCACCUGUGGCUGACUGCCCUCAGCCAUCUCCCUGGUCAGGAACUCUCAGAGCCCA